CGAAGAAAAUCAAACCACUUUCCAAAAAUGCAGGCGUGACAAUUUUUGGGUGGUAUUAAUUUUUUAACGUACCUCAAUACCUACAAAAACUUUUUGAAUUAUCAUUACGUAUCAUAUGCAUUUAUAUCGCAACGUAACGAAAUAUCGCGUAACGCAAGACCAGGGCUGCAGCAACGAAAUGAAAACGAUAGGCAAUAAGUUGCGAAGUUCAAUACUGGUCAGAAUUGUGAUAUCUAGUUACCCAGUAAAAGACUAUCAAUACACAAAAUAAAGGCCCCUAGGAAAAUAAUAAAUUAAUGUUCAUUUAAAAAGUAAGUUCUUAUCAGUUCGGCACCAACUUUUGGCUUGGCACGAGCUUUUCGCUUGGCACAAGCUUUUGGCUUGGCUCAAACUGUCGGCGCGGAUUUGCACUGGCGCUUUCUUGGAUUACAACUGCGCGAAAAGGAGCGCUUCAUAUGGUAUUUAUUUGAUGUGUAUGAUGUCAGCUAUUAACUGUGAUUAUGUUCCUUCCGCCUGUGAGUGUUGGGUAUGGUCAGUUCAAAUUUCGUAUUGGAAGCGCGUUAAAGCACGCAAUGCACGAAGGGGAGGAAAAGCACGAAAACGAAGGAUACAGCGAGAGAAGAAGCAUAGGCGCGCAGCAGUGCUAAAGGAAACACAUGUUCGCACCAAAUCGAUGAUAUAAGAUAAAAUGAACAAUAAAUAAAAAAAUAUCAAAACAUUUA